rnacentral:tRNA from 1 species
UGAGCAGUAGCUCAGUGGUAGAGCCCUGGCUUCGCGCGCGGGAAGACCUGGGUUCGGUUCCCGGCUGCUUAC